AGGACCGGCCACCGGGACCGAUACUCUUAUGACUUCUAGCACUCCCCGUGCACCUGAGGAUGAUGGUCUUGCAGGACCAGCCGUUGUGCCUGAUGCCACUACAGUUUUUGAGACCGAUUUGCCUAUGGGUGUUGAUAUACCCUCCAUGACUACUCCUGCCGUUAUCUCGGAGCCUAUCAGACCUCAAUCCGAGGGGACCUCCGCUGGCAUUGGAUCCCGAUCUUCUCUAUAUGAGCGUGUUCACGCCCUUUUGGCC